rnacentral:rRNA from 1 species
GACGAACCAUGCAAACGUUAUUCGGAAUCACUGGGCUUAAAGCGUGCGUAGGCGGCUCAGAAAGUUGGGUGUGAAAUCCCUCGGCUCAACCGAGGAAUUGCGCCCAAAACUACUGAGCUCGAGGGAGUUAGAGGUGAGCGGAACUCACGGUGGAGCGGUGAAAUGCGUUGAUAUCGUGAGGAACACCUGCGGCGAAGGCGGCACUCUGGGCUGGUACUGACGCUGAGGAGCGAAAGCGUGGGUAGCAAACAGG